AGUAGAAAUUUAAUUUUGUGGAUUAGGAUUGUGUUUAAUAGUGAUUAAUAAAAAGAAUUUUAUGUGUUUAGGUUUAAGUAUUUUUACAGAAAAAAUUGUUAUAUUUAUAGUGAAAUAGUAUUGUGAGAGAAUAAUGAAAUAUGGGAAGUUAAUUUAUUUAAAAGUGGAUUUUUAUUGUACCUUGUGUAUCAGGGUUAAUUGAUUUUGUUAAUAUAAAUAAUAUUUAUCUCGAAUUUAGAAGAGUAAUUGUACUAUAAGUUAAGGUGUUGAAUAAUGUUACUUAAUGGUAUUAUGGUAAUGAAAUGUUAUCGUUUUUUAAGAUAUCUAGUUACUUAAGAAAUGAAUUUAAUUCAGAUAUUAAUGGAUAAUUCAUUUUUAAUGGAUGGUUUAUUGAUUUAAUAUUAAUGAUUUAAGGGAUUAGCUUUGAAUUAUUUAUAAUAAUAGGUGGUUGAUUUUUGGGAAUUAGGCUUUAAAGUAGCUGGAUUUUAAGUGUGUUAUAACUUAUUGAAAAUUGAAUUUUAUUUUUUAGUGUUUUAUUAUUUUAUUAAGUUGAUUUUAUGAAUGUAGUGAAGAUGUUCUAAUGAUUAAAUUAGUAUAAGAUGUUGAAUAUGUAGUAUAAGUAAUGGUAAAUUUAUAUUGAGGAAUUAGGCAAAUUUUAUGCUCGCCUGUUUAACAAAAACAUGGCCUUUUGUUUAUAUAUAAGGUCUGACCUGCCCACUGAGAUUUUAAAGGGCCGCGGUAUUUUGACCGUGCAAAGGUAGCAUAAUCAUUAGUCUUUUAAUUGAAGGCUGGAAUGAAUGGUUGGACGAAGUAUAAACUGUCUUUAUAUAAAAAUUAUAAUUUAAUUUGUUAGUAAAAAGGCUGACAUAAAUAUGGAGGACGAGAAGACCCUAUAAAGUUUAACGUUUUCUAUUAAGGUGAAUUUUAGUAGUUUUAAAGUUUUAAUUUAAAAGUGUUUAGUUGGGGUGAUUUUAAGGAUUGUAAAACUCUUAAUUGAUGUAAGACUAGGAUGAUAGGUUUAAUGAUCCAUUAUUAAUGAUUAAAAGAUUAAAUUACUUUAGGGAUAACAGCGUAAUUUUCUUUGAGAGUUCUUAUCGACAAGAAAGAUUGCGACCUCGAUGUUGAAUUAAGGUGAUUAAUAGGUGUAGAAGUUUAUUAAAUAAGUCUGUUCGACUUUUGAAUCCUUACAUGAUUUGAGUUCAGACCGGUGUGAGCCAGGUCGGUUUCUAUCCUCAUAAUAGUAAAUAUUUUAGUACGAAAGGACCAAAUAUUUAAUAUAAUUAUUAUUUUUAUGAAUAAUGUU
rnacentral:rRNA from 1 species